GCCAGGUGUGGUGGCGUGCACCUGUGGUCCCAGCUACUCAGGAGGCUGAAGCAGGAGGAUCACUUGAACCCAGGAGGUCGAGGCUGCAGUGAGCCAUUAUUAUGCUACAGCACUCCAGCCUGGGCAAUAGAGUGAGACCCUGCCUCAA
rnacentral:SRP_RNA from 2 species